ACAAAAAAGUUGUGCAACUCAGCAUGCAAUGCCCCAACCGCUUUAUCUAGCUUCAACGGAGUCUUCAACUGGGUGCCUUUUUAUAGCUGUCACCUGCCCCAACAGAAGCACGUCCUCGCACUUUAUCGACCCCGUUGAGUAAAAAUUUACCCACACCUCCUCACAAGAUGACACUAAACGAUUUUUCGCGUAUGAGAAGAUGAGAGAAGAGGCUAUACCAUUGCCAUGAAGAAGAAGGUGGAGCCAUAGUGAGCCUCGUCAUCCCACCCACUAUUGAGCCGGCAACUACUUUUCAGAAUCUAUAUUGGCUGGUCCUCCCGGGUCACGUGUUCAGCCCCACGUUUCACUCACUAAGGUGGGUAUCCGUUAAAGCCAGCUCUCACAGACUACUGAGUAAAAAUAAUUACAACGUAUAUUACGUACCGUGGAUAAUAGAAUUUGCACUGUUGUAAUUUUGUCCUCCAACAGAAAACAAUCAUUACAAAUCAUUAUGUCCCACAAUUAGUCUCCCAUUCUAAAAUGCAUGUAGUAUGUAGAGGAUUGAGCGCCCACAUCUCAAGUUGCUGUACAACCGCACUCAAAAAACAGUGUGGUUAAUUAUACAUUAUGUAUUGCAGAAGCACAUGCGGUAGAAUUUCUGAUUGUAGCCUGCCUGCCUUAGUUCCCAGGCCGAUAAAAUAAUGCUAUAAGGUCAACCUAGCGUUAUUUUAGAGACAAAUCGGCCUGGGAACGAGGCUAGCCUUAGCCAUACAUGCAUGCAUGGUCAUGUCAAACCACAUAGUUUACACUAUACUACUAGUGUUUGUGACGUAGAGAGACAAGAACGAAUUUAUAUGGUUUGUACAAUUAUAGUAGUUGCUUACUCCCCUUCAUGUACUCCUGAUAUGCUCUAUAGAAGCAUAAACACAUUAAAAACAUUUA